rnacentral:rRNA from 1 species
UAAUACGUAGGAGGCGAGCGUUGUCCGGAUUUACUGGGCGUAAAGAGCGCGCAGGCGGCUGUGCAAGUACCGUGUGAAAUCCACCUGCUCAACGGGUGGGGUGCUAGGUAGACUGCACGGCUAGAGGACGGUAGAGGGGGGUGGAAUUGCUGGUGUAGCGGUGAAAUGCGUAGAGAUCAGCAGGAACACCCGUGGCGAAGGCGGCCCCCUGGGCCGUACCUGACGCUGAGGCGCGAAGGCUAGGGGAGCGAACGGGAUUAGAUACCCCGGUAGUCCUAGCAGUAAACGAUGGCCACUAGGUGUGGGGGGUGUUGACCCCUUCCGUGCCGAAGCUAACGCAUUAAGUGGCCCGCCUGGGGAGUACGGUCGCAAGACUA